CCGGUACUCCCUCCGUCCCAAAAUUCUUGUCUUAGAUUUAUCUAGAUAUGGAUGUAUCUAACACUAAAACGUGAAUAGAUACAUCCGUAUAUAGACAAAUCUAAGACAAGAAUUUUGGGACGGAGGGAGUAGGAU
rfam:Triticum aestivum genome assembly, contig: Triticum_aestivum_CS42_TGACv1_scaffold_515163_6BS